CCUACGGGAGACAGCAGUGGGGAAUAUUGCGCAAUGGGCGAAAGCCUGACGCAGCAACGCCGCGUGAGUGAAGAAGGUCUUCGGAUCGUAAAGCUCUGUUAUCAGGGACGAACGUUCACGGUACUAACUGACUAUGCUUCGACGGUAUCUGACCAGACAGCCCCGGCUAACUACGUGCCAGCAGCCGCGGUAAUACGUAGGGGGCAAGCGUUGUGCGGAUUUAUUGGGCGUAAAGGGAACGUAGGCGGUAUUUCAAGUCAGAUGUGAAGGCCGGGGGCUUAACCGGGGUAGUGCAUUGGAAACUGGGAGACUUGAGUGAAGAAGAGGAGAGCGGAAGUCCAGGUGUAGCGGUGAAAUGCGUAGAUAUAUGGAGGAACACCAGUGGCGAAGGCGGCUAUCUGGGCUGUAACUGACGCUGAGGCGCGAAAGCGUGGGUAGCAAACAGGAUUAGAUACCCGAGUAGUC
rnacentral:rRNA from 1 species